GACGAACGCUGGCGGCGUGCUUAACACAUGCAAGUCGAACGGAAAGGCCCUGCUUUUGUGGGGUUCUCGAGUGGCGAACGGGUGAGUAACACGUGAGUAACCUUCCCUUUACUUUGGGAUAACUUCAGGAAACUGGGGCUAAUACCGGAUAGGAGCUCCUGCUGCAUGGUGGGGGUUGGAAAGUUUCGGCGGUUGGGGAUGGACUCGCGGCUUAUCAGCUUGUUGGUGGGGUAGUGGCUUACCAAGGCUUUGACGGGUAGCCGGCCUGAGAGGGUGACCGGCCACAUUGGGACUGAGAUACGGCCCAGACUCCUACGGGAGGCAGCAGUGGGGAAUAUGGCACAAUGGGCGGAAGCCUGAUGCAGCAACGCCGCGUGCGGGAUGACGGCCUUCGGGUUGUAAACCGCUUUCGCCUGUGACGAAGCGUGAGUGACGGUAAUGGGUAAAGAAGCACCGGCUAACUACGUG
rnacentral:rRNA from 1 species